GUCAAUGGCCUAACGGCUGAACCAGCAACUUGGAAGAAUGGUGGUAACAAGAGGUUACUAUUAUUAAUUAUGUUAAAUAAAGUUCUAAAUAAAUAACUUGAUAGUGACAUACUUUAUUUAUAAGUCUUGACCAAUUCACGUGCCAGCAGUCGCGGCAAUACGUGGAAGACUAGUGUUAUUCAUCUUUAAUAGGUUUAAAGGGUACGUAGACGGUUAAUUAAGUCAAAAAAACAAAGAUACUGAUUAAACUAGAGUUUUAUGAAAAGAAGUAGUACGGUUGGUGUAGUGAUAGAAUAUUAUAAUACUGCUUGGAAACUGGUAGAGGCGAAAGCAACUUCUUAUGUAUAAACUGACGUUAAGGGACGAAGGCUUAAUUAAUGAACAGGAUUAGAUACCCUGGUAGUCUAAGCAGACAAUGAUAAAUGCCAUAUGUGAAAUAUAAAAUAUUUUAUAUAUAAAUGAAAGUGUAAGCAUUUCACCUCGAGAGUAAUGCGGCAACGCAGGAACUGAAAUCAUUAGACCGUUUCUGAGACCAGUAGUGAAGUAUGUUGUUUAAUUUGAUGACCCGCAAAAAACCUUACCACAAUUUGAAUAUAUGAAUAAUAUACAGGCGUUGCAUGGCUGUCAACAGCUGAUGUCGUGAGACAGUGGUUAGAUCCAUUAAAUUAGCGUAAACCCUUACCUUUUUUUUUACAAAAGGUAGCUCGCCAAAAAGUAAAUUUGGUUAGAUAUAAGGGACUAAGACAAGCCAUCAUGACCC
rnacentral:rRNA from 1 species